ensembl:misc_RNA
UAGUGUUCAUCAUGGCGAGCAGAUGGCACCAGGAGAAAUGGAGCCCCUGGCCAGUGUGAGUCGUAGCAGUGCAGGAGGGGAGACCCUGGAGGAGAGCAGAGAGCCCGCCUAACUGCAGAUUGAAUUUCCAGAGGCUUAGGAGGAGGAAGUUCUCCG